CACACACACACACCCUGUCUCUCUCUCUCUGCCCUAUCUCUUCAUCUCUCAAGUUAUGAAGAGAGUAGCAAUCUUUCAAUGUUUUUCCGUCUUAUAGAAAAUCGAACGUGGUCUUCUAUUUGAGGUAGUUUUUGUAAGAGUUCGGUUUCAUCUCCAUAAACUAUGGGUAGACUUUAAUACUUGUAUGGUAUCAUUGGAAUGAAUCUCAGAUAUGCCCAAAAGGUGGUUUUUGUAAGAGUUGGCUUCAUCGAUUGUAAAUUAUGGCGAGAAUUUCAUACCCAUAUAAAAUCUUUGUAAUGAAUCUCAGAUCCGCCUAAAAGGUGUUUGUUUGAUGAUGAAACCUCUUAUUAGAUUAUUGCUCCCUCAUAAACAAAUGACCAGCACAACCAGCAUUAUGUCAGACUCAUCCUCUACACUAAAAAAAAAUUGUUGUUGAUGCAAUUCAUGUUGAUAGAAAGAUUUUUGAACAGUUACAGGUGUUAAUCCUUCUACUACUUUUACAAGGGUACACUUUCCGAGUUUCUGAUGGGAAGGUAGUGGCUGUGAAGCAACUUUCAGUAGCAUCUCACCAAGGGAAGAGUCAAUUUGCUGCAGAAAUUGCUACCAUAUGUAGUUGCAACAUCGCAAUCUAGUGAAAUUAUUUUGCCAGUUGCUGACAAUUACAUUGGAGAUAGGUCAACCACCACUCCAUGCAAUUAGACCUUCUUGUGAAGGUGCAUGAAUCUUGAUGAGGAAACGUUUCACAUUCAUCAUGGAUUAAAUGAAGACUUUUAUAUAUUCAGAUUUAUAAUUAGCAGUGGGCAGUUGCUUAAGUAGGUAUUUUUGUUGUAAUAAUGAACUUUUCUAAAUUGAGUGUGUGAAUAUAAUUGUGUUUUAUGCAGAAGUGUUCAAUUUUGAGUCACUACCUGUAAUGGUUAGAAGACUGCCAGAUU
rnacentral:lncRNA from 1 species